rnacentral:rRNA from 1 species
GAAAGCCUGACGGAGCGACGUCGCGUGCUGGAUGAAGUCUUUCGGGACGUAAACAGCUUUUAUGUAUGAGGAAGUUUUGACGUUAGUACAUGAAUAAGGGGCUCCUAACUCUGUGCCAGCAGGAGCGGUAAUACAGAGGCCCCAAGCGUUACCCGGAAUUAUUGGGCGUAAAGGGUGUGUAGGCGGUUAUGUUAGUCGUCCGUGAAAGAUCUGGGCUUAACCCCGGAGGCGCGGGCGAAACGGCAUGGCUUGAGGGCGCGAGAGGUAAAGGGAACUCAUGGUGUAGGGGUGAAAUCCGUUGAUAUCAUGGGGAACACCAAAUGCGAAGGCACUUUACUGGCGCGUUUCUGACGCUGAGACACGAAAGCGUG